rnacentral:tRNA from 3 species
AGAAACUUAGGAUAAUAUUAAACCAAAGGCCUUCAAAGCCUUGAACAAGAGUUAAACCCUCUUAGUUUCUG